AAGAAGUUGGAGAAGAUGGAGAAGAAGAUCUAGAAGGAGAUCUUCAUCCUCUCCUUCCUCCUCCUUGAGCUUUGGAGCAAGCUUUUAGAGGUAAGCUCUAAUCCUAAAAAUGGUAUUUCUAGGGUUUAGGGUUUUGGUUGCUUUUGAGUGGUCCAAAUGGAACUCAUUUGAGUUAGAGAGGAUGGUUCUAGCUCAUAUUGAAGCUUUGAACCAUGGAUUGCACCAUUGAUGCAAACCUAGGGUUAGGGUUUUGGUUUUGAACCCUAGAUCUUGGUUUUGAUCUCCCUACAAGUUUUAGAACCUUGUAGAGACCAAGAAUGCAUGAAAUCCAUGUUGUUCUUCAUGAGGCUCUAAUGGUGGAUUUUUAGGGUUUGUUCUAAACACCCUAUAAAUGGUUCGAAUGCUCCUAGAUGAGCUCCUAGAUGAUAAACAAGCUUUCAUUUGCUUGCUUUAUAGAUCAAAUCCGAAGUAUUGAGCAUAUGUCACAUUAGGGCAUCCCAAAGAGGGGUUUUGCUCAUAUGGGGUUUUGAUCUAUUUUGACCGCUUGGAAACCUAAUUGGGGACCUAAUGAACGCGUUGAAAUGCUCGGUUCGACAAUCCGACGAGUGUACGCGAAGUUAUUGACGAAACGGUCAGUUUUGGUACAGAUGGCCGCAGCACGCGAAAUAAAAGCCUAAAAAUCGUGAGAUCGGAACCGGAGCAUCUUGGAGUCAAGGAAUAAACUCCGGAAAAGACGGAUCGCGGUUCGGAGGUCGUUCGCUAAGUCGCGCAAGAGUUCGGGCCCAAACGGGUGCCGAGUGCCGCGGGAGGCCGAUUGCAAGUGUCGACAAGCAAUCGGAACGCGAGUUAAGGUGGGUUGUGCUUACCGAAGCGACUAGGUCGCCCUUUAUGUCUUAGCAA
rnacentral:lncRNA from 1 species